UCCGGUUUGUCACCGGCAGUCUCCUUAGAGUUCCCACCAUUACGUGCUGGCAACUAAGGACAAGGGUUGCGCUCGUUGCGGGACUUAACCCAACAUCUCACGACACGAGCUGACGACAGCCAUGCAGCACCUGUCUCACGGUUCCCGAAGGCACCCGCCCAUCUCUGAGCAGUUCCGUGGAUGUCAAGGCCAGGUAAGGUUCUGCGCGUUGCUUCGAAUUGAACCACAUGCUCCACCGCUUGUGUGAGCCCCCGUCAAUUCCUUUGAGUUUCAGCCUUGCGGCCGUACUCCCCAGGCGGAGUACUUAGCACAUUCGCUUCGUUACUGACCGGGUCGAUACGGCCAACAACUAGUAUCCAUCGUUUACGGCGUGGACUAC
rnacentral:misc_RNA from 1 species